AUUGAACGCUGGCGGCAUGCCUUACACAUGCAAGUCGAACGGCAGCACGGGAGCUUGCUCCUGGUGGCGAGUGGCGAACGGGUGAGUAAUGCAUCGGAACGUGCCCUGAAGUGGGGGAUAACGUAGCGAAAGUUACGCUAAUACCGCAUAUUCUGUGAGCAGGAAAGCAGGGGAUCUUCGGACCUUGCGCUUUUUGGAGCGGCCGAUGUCGGAUUAGCUAGUUGGUGGGGUAAAGGCCCACCAAGGCGACGAUCCGUAGCGGGUCUGAGAGGAUGAUCCGCCACACUGGAACUGAGACACGGUCCAGACUCCUACGGGAGGCAGCAGUGGGGAAUUUUGGACAAUGGGCGCAAGCCUGAUCCAGCCAUGCCGCGUGAGUGAAGAAGGCC
rnacentral:rRNA from 1 species